UGUUCUUGUUGUUGAUGUUAACUUACCAUUUUGUAUGUAAAUUCUCCACUUUUUUUCAUGUUGUAAUUUUUAGGUUUGUUUUAUUUAAUGUUUUUAGUGUUUUCUAAUGUGGAUUGUUCUUGUUGUUGAUGUUGAUCAGCGGAGGAGUACUGCCACUCGGAUGCAGGGUGACAGUGAAGAUUACGAGUUGAAGCAAAUGAGGGAUAUGGCUGCUGCCAAAAAGAGAUGGGAAGCUCUGCAGGUAUGUCAGAAAAACCUUUUCUGGGUUCAAGGAGGUAGAGGCUGCUGAAGAAGAGUGAGUCUCAUCUUAUGUGGGAGCAGGAUCUUGCCAGAGAAGGCCCUCUGCCAUUUAAGUUUGCUGGAAUUGGUGGGCUUUUAGAAUUCCUUGGAUUUAUCAGAAAGUACAUUUAUUUCUGCCCUGCUGCAGCUGCCAAAGAAGGUUGGAGUUACCGAUUAGUGUUCUCUGCCCGGCUGGUCAGAGUCAUUCUCCUUGCCGAUACCUUGUUUCUUGGUGCUCAGCAAUUUGGACAUUAUCUUCAGGAUACAAGGUCACUCUGAGGUUAAACACUUGUGCUUGAAGUACUUGAUUGUAUAUCAAGAUACAACAUUUUGCAGUACUGGUUCACCAGAAAUAAUAGAUUUUCCAAGGAUAACAAUUUUGGAAGCCACAGUGCCUCAGAAAGAAGCUUACACCAAUCAGGGUAAAGGAGGGGAAAACGGGAAGGAAAAUCAUGUCUCAUAGAGAAAAAAGGCAA